CUUACUGUCUCCUCACUCCAAUCAGUGAAACUGAUCUUCCCGUGAAGAAGCGGGAAUAAAUAUAUAAGACGAGAAGACCCCAUGGAGCUUUAAACCCAACAGCAUCUAUUAUUUUAUGUCCUCAUAAACGCUUAGUUAAUGCUUGUUUGGUUUUGGGUUGGGGUGACCAUGGAGUAAAAAAUAUCCUCCACGAAGAAAGGGAUAAUGGCCCUUAUUAAAGAAUUACACUUCGAUAAAUUAGUAUACUAAUUUCCAAUGAUCCGAUAUUCGAUCAACGAACCAAGUUACCCUGGGGAUAACAGCGCAAUCCGCCUUAAGAGCUCUUAUCGACAGGCGGG
rnacentral:rRNA from 1 species